GACGGAGGAUGCAAGUGUUAUCCGGAAUCACUGGGCGUAAAGCGUCUGUAGGUGGUUUAAUAAGUCAACUGUUAAAUCUUGAGGCUCAACCUCAAAAUCGCAGUCGAAACUAUUAGGCUAGAGUAUAGUAGGGGUAAAGGGAAUUUCCAGUGGAGCGGUGAAAUGCGUAGAGAUUGGAAAGAACACCGAUGGCGAAGGCACUUUACUGGGCUAUUACUAACACUGAGAGACGAAAGCCAGGGGAGCAAACGGG
rnacentral:rRNA from 1 species